rnacentral:tRNA from 1 species
GCUCCCGUCGUCUAGGGGCCUAGGACGCCGCCCUCUCAAGGCGGAAACGGCAGUUCGAAUCUGCUCGGGAGUACCA